AACGAACGCUGGCGGCGCGCCUAAUACAUGCAAGUCGAGCGAGAAGACGUAGCAAUACGUUUGUAAAGCGGCGAACGGGUGAGGAAUACAUGGGUAACCUACCCUCGAGUGGGGAAUAACUAGCCGAAAGGUUAGCUAAUACCGCGUACGCUCCUUGGACUUCGGUUCAGGGAGGAAAGCGAUACCGUGGGUAUCGCGCUCUUGGAUGGGCUCAUGUCCUAUCAGCUUGUUGGUGNGGUAACGGCUCACCAAGGCUUCGACGGGUAGCUGGUCUGAGAGGACGAUCAGCCACACUGGCACUGCGACACGGGCCAGACUCCUACGGGAGGCAGCAGUAAGGAAUAUUGCGCAAUGGGCGAAAGCCUGACGCAGCGACGCCGCGG
rnacentral:rRNA from 1 species